rnacentral:rRNA from 1 species
CACGUAGGGGGCGAGCGUUGUUCGGAAUUACUGGGCGUAAAGCGCACGUAGGCGGAUUGGAAAGUUGGGGGUGAAAUCCCGGGGCUCAACCCCGGAACUGCCUUCAAAACUCCCAGUCUGGAGGUCGAGAGAGGUGAGUGGAAUUCCGAGUGUAGAGGUGAAAUUCGUAGAUAUUCGGAGGAACACCAGUGGCGAAGGCGGCUCACUGGCUCGAUACUGACGCUGAGGUGCGAAAGCGUGGGGAGCAAACAGG